GUGGGGAAUCUUGCGCAAUGGGCGAAAGCCUGACGCAGCCAUGCCGCGUGAAUGAUGAAGGUCUUAGGAUUGUAAAAUUCUUUCACCGGGGACGAUAAUGACGGUUCCCGGAGAAGAAGCCCCGGCUAACUUCGUGCCAGCAGCCGCGGUAAUACGAAGGGGGCUAGCGUUGCUCGGAAUUACUGGGCGUAAAGGGCCCGUAGGCGGACAGUUUAGUCAGAGGUGAACGCCCAGGGCUCAACCUUGGAAUUGCCUUUGAUUCUGGCUGUCUUGGGUACGAGAGAGGUGAGUGGAACUCCGAGUGUAGAGGUGAAAUUCGUAGAUAUUCGGAAGAGCACCAGUGUCGAAGGCGACUCACUGGCCAGUUUCUGACGCUGAGGCGCGAAAGCGUGGGGAGCAAACAGGAUUAGAUACCCCAGUAGUCC
rnacentral:rRNA from 1 species